UGGUUCUUGGCACAGUGGAUAGCACUACUGUCUUGCAAUAAGGAGGUUCCGGGUUCGAGCCACGGCUGGCCAG